UCAUACGUACGCUAGUAACAAUAAUUAAGCUUAAACAUUUUGGCGGGUCCAACGAGCUAAGUGCUAUAUGGGGCAAAAUAUUGUUGGCCUAGUGGCCCUAAUCUUUCAUUAGAUUUUGAUGAUAACAAAUAAUUACAAUUAUUGGACUAAUUCCUUAUCUUGAGUUUUUUUUUUUGUGUUUUAGAUCUUCAUAUCUUCAAAAGGACUCAAGAUGGGCAAUCCUUUAGCACCGAGCUUCACCACUUGAAGCUAUACUUGCUUCCUUUGUCAAAAAGACAAAUUCACUCUCUCUACCCUUAAUUUGAUUAAUAUUAUGCUUUAUGAUUAGAGUAAGAAACUUUGAGCUAAGUUUAAACUAUUCAUCUUAUCACCUUAUAGAUCACUUAAACAAAUUUCUAAAUUUAUGAUUAGGUGAAUAGGAUUUUUAAAUAUUCAAAAACUGCUCAAAUUCUGUGUUCUGUGAAGUUGCAAUUUCUGGACCCUGUUCUGGGCGCCCUAAAGUGGAUCCGAAUCUUUUGAGACCUUUUGGAUCCUCCCUGUUUGCUGUUCGGGUGAUCCAGAAACUUCUUUACCUGAUCUGGGCACCAUUACUUCAAAUUAGGACAACCGAGGCUAUUUGACUUGACAGGUUGCAUAUCAGCCCAAAAAGUUCUUACAGCAGGCGGCGCGCAAUCUGGGCGCCCAGAUCUUAUGGAAGCCCAAAAAUGAUUUUGGUCAGAGAAAGCGGCGCACGCAAUCUGGGCUGUCUGGCAAGAAAGUCAGCAUGAGUUUCUGGGCGCCCACAACUUUUGACGGCUCGAAUCCAGAGAAAAACGGCGCAUGUCAGAAAAG
rnacentral:lncRNA from 1 species